rnacentral:rRNA from 1 species
AGCGAAGCUUGCUUUGCUCCGCCGGCGACCGGCGCACGGGUGAGUAACGCGUAUGCAACCUGCCCGUUUCAGCGGGAUAACCCGGAGAAAUCCGGCCUAAUACCGCAUGUGGCCGAGGGAAGGCAUCUUCUUUCGGCCAAAGGAGGCGACUCCGGAGACGGAUGGGCAUGCGUGACAUUAGCUUGUUGGCGGGGUAACGGCCCACCAAGGCGACGAUGUCUAGGGGUUCUGAGAGGAAGGUCCCCCACACUGGUACUGAGACACGGACCAGACUCCUACGGGAGGCAGCAGUGAGGAAUAUUGGUCAAUGGGCGAGAGCCUGAACCAGCCAAGUCGCGUGAAGGAUGACGGCCCUACGGGUUGUAAACUUCUUUUGUCAGGGAGCAAUUGGGUCCACGCGUGGGCUUAGCGAGAGUACCUGAAGAAAAAGCAUCGGCUAACUCCGUGCCAGCAGCCGCGGUAAUACGGAGGAUGCGAGCGUUAUCCGGAUUUAUUGGGUUUAAAGGGUGCGUAGGCGGAAUAUCAAGUCAGCGGUAAAAAUUCGGGGCUCAACCCCGUCGUGCCGUUGAAACUGAUGUUCUUGAGUGGGCGAGAAGUAUGCGGAAUGCGUGGUGUAGCGGUGAAAUGCAUAGAUAUCACGCAGAACUCCGAUUGCGAAGGCAGCAUACCGGCGCCCAACUGACGCUGAAGCACGAAAGCGUGGGUAUCGAACAGGAUUAGAUACCCUGGUAGUCCACGCAGUAAACGAUGAAUGCUAAUUGUCCGGAGGGAUUGACCUCUGGGUGAUACAGCGAAAGCGUU